rnacentral:rRNA from 1 species
UAAUACGGAGGGUGCAAGCGUUGUUCGGAAUUACUGGGCGUAAAGAGCUUGUAGGCGGCCUGUUAAGUCUGAUGUGAAAGCCCUCGGCUCAACCGAGGAAGUGCAUUGGAUACUGGCAGGCUUGAGUAUGGGAGAGGAGAGCGGAAUUCCCGGUGUAGAGGUGAAAUUCGUAGAUAUCGGGAGGAACACCAGUGGCGAAGGCGGCUCUCUGGACCAAUACUGACGCUGAGAAGCGAAAGCGUGGGGAGCAAACAGGAUUAGAUACCCUGGUAGUCCACGCCGUAAACGAUGGGUACUAGGUGUUGGGGGUUUACCCUCAGUGCCGGAGCUAACGCAUUAAGUACCCCGCCUGGGAAGUACGGCCGCAAGGCUA